UGUUGUUAUAAAGCUCAUAACUGAUAUUAUCCAUUGAAGUAAAUCAAGAAAAUCUAUGGCAACUUUUUUCCAAGAUAUCAUGAACAAAUUUCUAGAUCUGAUUAAAUUCCUUAUUUCUUUUGGUAAAGGAAAUGAUGAGCAUGAACAAUCAAAGUUGGAAAAUGAGGAGGGAGGAGAUUUACUAAGGCCAGAAGGAAAAGCAAGACGUUCAAACACCUCCAGGAAAACGUAAACCUCCUCGUUUUCAGACUGGCAAUGAUAUUUCCUAGAUGUAAAACAAUCAAAUUUGUACAUAUUUGAAUAUUUUGAAGAAUUUUCAAAUGUAAUUUAAUUGACGAGUGAAGUUUGUUUAAUUAGUGGUAAGUACCACUACUAUCAUCAGGUAGAUUGAAUGUUCGUGUCACGAGAAAGAUAGGUGAAAAUAGUAUUAUUGAGCUUGUUAAUGGAGGGGGUAAAGAAAUAAAAUUUGGUUAAUGAGUG